CGGUGGCCCGCACAAGCGGGGAGCUAGUGUAUAAUUUAAAGCAAUGCGAAGAACCUUACCAGGUCUUACAUCCUCUGAAAACCCUAGAGAUAGGUUUUUUCCUUCGGGAGCAGAGUGACAGGUGGUGCAUGGUUGUCGUCAGCUCGUGUCGUGAGAUGUUGGGUUAAGUCCCGCAACGAGCGCAACCCUUGAUCUUAGUUGCCAUCAUUAAGUUGGGCACUUUAAGGUGACUGCCGGUGACAAACCGGAGGAAGGUGGGGAUGACGUCAAAUCAUCAUGCCCCUUAUGACCUGGGCUACACACGUGCUACAAUGGACGGUACAAAGAGCUGCAAGACCGCGAGGUGGAGCUAAUCUCAUAAAACCGUUCUCAGUUCGGAUUGUAGGCUGCAACUCGCCUACAUGAAGCUGGAAUCGCUAGUAAUCGCGGAUCAGCAUGCCGCGGUGAAUACGUUCCCGGGCCUUGUACACACCGCCCGUCACACCACGAGAGUUUGUAACACCCGAAGUCGGUGGGGUAACCUUUAUGGAGCCAGCCGCCUAAGGUGACAGAUG
rnacentral:rRNA from 1 species